rnacentral:rRNA from 1 species
UGGGGAAUCUUGCGCAAUGGGCGAAAGCCUGACGCAGCCAUGCCGCGUGGAUGAUGAAGGUCUUAGGAUUGUAAAAUCCUUUCACCGGCGAAGAUAAUGACUGUAGCCGGAGAAGAAGCCCCGGCUAACUUCGUGCCAGCAGCCGCGGUAAUACGAAGGGGGCUAGCGUUGCUCGGAAUUACUGGGCGUAAAGGGAGCGUAGGCGGACAUUUAAGUCAGGGGUGAAAUCCCGAGGCUCAACCUCGGAACUGCCUUUGAUACUGGGUGUCUUGAGUGUGAGAGAGGUAUGUGGAACUCCGAGUGUAGAGGUGAAAUUCGUAGAUAUUCGGAAGAACACCAGUGGCGAAGGCGACAUACUGGCUCAUUACUGACGCUGAGGCUCGAAAGCGUGGGGAGCAAACAGGAUUAGAUACCCUGGUAGUCCACGCCGUAAAGCGAUGAUUGCUAGUUGUCGGGGAAANCCUUGCUUUUCGGUGACGCAGCUAACGCAUUAAGCAAUCCGCCUGGGGAGUACGGUCGCAAGAUUAAAACUCAAAGGAAUUGACGGGGGUCAUAGCUGUUUCCUG